rnacentral:lncRNA from 1 species
AACAUUUGUGUGACUGUAAAUACUUCCUAUUAAGGAAAUAUUGAAAGGUGUCAAUCUUUUUGGAGCAGACUAAUAAGAAAAUAAUGCCAAUCUUUUUUAAAUAGAGGGAGUAACUUAUUAGCAUCAAUGCGGUUGCACAUCCUUUGGAAAACCUUUGUAUUUCUUUGUUUAGUAAAAUGACAUUUCUCGUUUAAAUUUGAUAUAUGUUGCUUUAUAUGAGUUAAAUACUCUGUCUUAUGAAUAUUUGGUUCUGAAAUUUUCUGCUUUGCAGUCCAUGCUUCUUUGACAUUGUUGGACAAAAUAUUUCUCCGAUUUCUGUGUCUGGGAAUCCUGUGUGUGUAAUCAUUGAACAGGGGAUGCACAACAUCAAGAGAAAUAUGACAGAAUGGUAAAUGACUUAAUUUUUGGCCCUUUUUUGUUGUCUAGUAACACCAUAUUUUAAGGCUCUAAUUCCAAAAUUACCUGGUUAACUUACCUUAAAGUCAUUAUGGUUCUAUCUAUCUACUGCUUCAAGACUUGGCCACAGUAGAAUUCAUGUUUAUAGAUGACAUUUUCCAGACUUUUCAAGUGCCCUCAGCUCAUUGCAAAAUCAAGUGACCUUUACAGUCCUAAAAGAAUUUGAUGACAUCUAAUGUACUCUUAUCUUUAUUAUUCUUUUGGGGGGUCAUAUUUUGUGGUGAUAAAGUGUUUGCCUACACCAUGCUACUGGUCCACAUUAGAAGACAAUUAUAUGCUAACUUAAUUGUUUGAGAAUAUUUGUAUAUUUUGCUAUUGCUUUUAGACCCCAGGAGACAAUGAGAGGGGACCAUUUGGUUUUAAGUCACUUUCAAGUUUCUGGUUUUGCUCCCUAAGGGCUUCCUUAAUGUCAAUCUCUUUCUCCGACAAUCGUGGGGACCUUUGUUUGGUUUUUUUGUUUCUCUGUGCUGUUUGUAAAUAAUUUGUUGUGCAAAUUUCCAAAAGAAAAAGACAAUCCUCUUCAGCAUCAAAAAAAUGUGAACGGUUGAAUUGCCACCACUCAGGCGUUUGGUGGAUGUAAAAGCUUGAGAUUUCUUUACCAAGAGAAGUUCUGAUAUUUCCUUGUUUGGAUUGCAGAUGCAUCCACCAAUGAAUGGUACAAAAGUUCUUGAUAUGGCUAUAGGUUAUAGUAUGUAAAAUCAAGAUAUGCUUUCACAUUUCCAUGGAAAUGAUUGUUGUCUUUGCUGUCAUGAAAGGAAGGGGGAAUGUUAAAUAAGAAACAAAUAAAAAUCGAAGAUCUUUGUUUCUUGAUAUAUCUACCUAUAAACAUCAAUAAUAUCCUUAAAAUAUCAUGUUCUUCUUAUUAUAUUCUUUUAUCACCGAAGCAUACAUGUUAUUUUCCUAGCUAUGACUCCAAAAAGGUGAAAAUCCGCAGCAGAGUAGUAUUUACCACAACAAGGACUAACGAUUUUGACAGCAGAAUUUGGAAUCAGAAGAAACAUUUACUCUUUAAAGUUUUCAUUUAGAUGCUCUGAAAAACUGUUUGUGCUUUUGUUGUGUUAACAAUGUAAUGCAUGGUUAUGAUUGGCAGUAUGAGCAUGUUGUUUUAGUGGAUUAAUAUAUCAAGAAUACAAUGUGGAAUAAAGUAUAAACUAUUACUGGUAGGACAAAGUAUUUAUAGGAUAUUUUUGCGUUGCAUGGUUAUGGGCAGUCUAGAAGUCGUUAUAUAAGCAUUACAGGGGAGAAUUAAUUUCUUCAAGAAUAGAACAUAAAAAGAAAGUGGCAAUAUUCACCAACUUGUAUGUGAAGUUAACUAGUUGAAUAUAAAUAGUAUACUAAAUUAAGGUAAUGUAAGGCAACUACCGUGGGUGUAUAUGGGGUUUGUCUUUCUAUUUCAUUACUCUUUCUUCAUUUCGUUUUCAGUUAUUAAUUGAAGUUGUCUGUAGUUGACCACGGACCACCCCAUAUGUUAUUGUUAGGGAAAGGAUAGUGCAUAAUUCAAUCACUACUGCUUUACAUAUAUACACAGAAUUUAUUCCAUAUAUAUAUGCAUGAAAAGUCCCCUCUUUCUAUUCCUUAAAUCUCUACAGAGCCUUUCCUUCUCUGAUCCUUAAUAUCUGCAAUCAAUUAGAAUAUCAAAAAGAUGGAAACUUCACAGUCUCUUUCUAUUGAGAGCUUUUCAUAUAGUUGGUUAGUGGACNNNNNNNNNNNNNNNNNNNNNNNNNNNNNNNNNNNNNNNNNNNNNNNNNNNNNNNNNNNUAAUUAGUUCCGACUCCAUCCCAAAUUCUCCGACAUCUUCAGUCACACUGAACGAUUCACAUUCAUCUAGGAGGGUGAAUCGUUGUGUAUCGUUGAGAAGAUGUCGGACUUUGUCAAGGCGAGUUUUGCUCAAGUAUUUGGAUUUUUUGAGGCCUUUUUGCCAAAAAAUAAGAAGAUGUAGACUUGGUAGGUGCAGAAGUGGAAAGGAAGUGAAGAAGUGGGAAUAUUCUCCAGCAACAUCUCCCAGGACAAGUGUAGCUUAUUCUGUUGAUAAUUGGCGCAGGUCUUGUGAUUCUGAAAGCUCCAUUUAUGAAGCAGUUCUACAUUGCAAAAGAACCAUUGGUAUGUUUAAGUUCUCUUUUUCUUUUUCAUUUUAGCAAUAUAUAGCAGACAAAUUUAGGAUCUAGUGCCGAUGAGAUCAGAAUAUAGUCUUACUAUAUGUAUAAAUUUUUAAAUUUUUUCCUCAUAUGUUUUGAGUCGAAAGCAAUGAGUUCAGUAAAACCGAUAGAACUUGCUCUAGCUCCGCCUAUGCAUGUAGUUACAAUAAAAGAAACUGGAAUUAGCUACAAACUUCAUCACUUAUAUGUCGCUAAAUCACUCGUAGCUAACAGAAUUUCUUAAUAAUUUGUCGCUAAAUAAGAUUAGCGAUGAGUUUUUUUUUUUUUUUUUGCUAAAGAAUUUGUUCAUCACUAAUUCUAGUUUUUAGUAGUAUAUAUAGCUAGCUCCGCCUAUGUAGUUAAAUUAAAAAGAUUUCUUGAUUGUCUGUCAGAUUAUAAUAUUGUUUUUUGGUUUGUUGUGUUUCAGGUAAAUAGGGAAGAGAACUGAAUAAUGUCAUGGAACUAAAGAACAAAGAAAGAAGAUUGAGAGGUCUAAAGAUGAUCACAUGUCACUGAAUACAUUGUCCCUUUCUGUAUCUCUUUUCUCUUCUUCAAGAAUGGGAUUGUGAAUUUUUUGUCUCUUGAGGAAGUAGAAAAGCUGUAAAAGGAAGAAGUGUCAGCCAUGAGAAAUUCUUGGAAUUUUUUAAGAUACGAUAAAUCUUCGUGAUGACUCAUAUAUUUUUGUCCUUUUUUUUUUUAUUUAAAAUUCUCCUCUGUAGAGGAAGAACAGAAUUCCAACUUUGAAAUUGUCUGGCUUUGUGCUUAGUAAAGUUUAAUGGUAAUA